rnacentral:lncRNA from 10 species
CCUCCUGGCCCUUGCAGGGGCUAAGUACCUUUGUACCCCUGGGUGCCCCCGCCACGACCCUCCCCGCUGGCCCACUUCCCCCUUCCCUGUUCUAGCCUUCAAGGUCUGCAGUCUCUGGUCUCACUUCUCUCCUCCCCUGGUUCCAGUAGACAGCGGCCAGAGGAGGCGCUCCUGGGGUUGGAUUCACUGUUGGUUUUAGGAACUGAGAAAGGCCCCCAAUCCCCGAGAAAAUCCAGGGCAGAAUGUGGCUGAGGAGCUGGAGGGAGGAGAGGAGACCAGGCGCCCUCCCAGGGCCUCCACCUCAGGCCUGUAGAUAUGAGGUCCCCCAAGGCCUUGCUGUGUGACCUGGGCAAGUUACUCCAUCUCUCUGGGCCCGGAUAGGGAUCAAUGGAUCCUAUCUUGUCGGAAUGCGGGGGCAUUGAGGGCAGCUGGAGAAUGUAAGCUUAGCUCCCAGACUGGUGCUCGGGAGGGCCGGCGAGGGUUCUGCUACGUUUAUUACCACCUUUACUGGCGAGUUCAAAAGGAGCAAAUCAGCAAAGGCCCCAAAACACUGGGGCCCAACAGACACGCAGUUUCCCCUUGAACAAUGCACGUGUUAGGGUUGCGACCCCCUCCCCCAUGCAGUGAAAACCUGCAUGUAACUUUCGACUCCUCCAAAACUGAACUACGAAUAGUCGACUGUUGACCAGAAGCCUCACUGAUAA